CCCCCGUCCUGGCCCCUGAAGAGCACACCAAAGCCACCAGACGGGGACCCCAGCUCCUUUAGACGGGUUGGCAGGCAGCAGGGCCCAAGGACCCAGAAGGGCCAGUGAGGACGCGUCUGGAUCCCCAGAGCUGCGCCCCGCCGGCACCGGCCAGGCACUACCCAUGUUCUGAGAGGACCCACGACGGGGACAGGCGGCACCCAGACCCCCUCGAAGGCGGAGCUGUUGCUUCCCAGUUCGCAGAUCGGGAAACUGAGUCCUGGGGGUAGAGGGCAGGGCCCCAGCCCCCUGACAGCCCGGGUCGUGUGCCCCGCCCUGUAGGAAGGAAGGGCCGAGCUCUCCUGUGCCCAGCACCCGAGGCUCCCUCCACUGGCCGGAAACUGAGGCCCCUUGCACAACCGGCCAGCCCGGGAGGGGUCCUGCGCCAUGUGUGGGGGGCGAUGCCACCUGCGCCUCUCCCCCUGCUUCGUCUCUGCGCCCCAGCUCCAUCUCCUCCGCCCUCUUCCCUCCUCCUCCGCCUCCUUCCUUCCUUCCUCUCCCUCCGAUCCUGCAGCUCCCCCCACAGAGCCCUGAGGAGAAUGCGCUGUGCUCACCACAGCCAUUGUCUAGCUCUGGACGACUUCCUGCCGCUGAUCAGGACUGGGGCCACCGUGGGGGUGACUGGGGCUAGACUGCAGGGAGGAGGUGCUGUGCUUCGGCAGGCAGGGGCGUCCCUCUCUGAGCCUCAGUGUCCUCGCCUGUAAGACAGGGACCAUCUUGCCAGGUGAGGUGACGCGUGCCUGUCAUCCCAGCACUCGGGAGGCUGAGGCAGGAGGGUCACCCUGAGUUCAAGGCCUGGAGUGAGACUGUUUCAAAGAAAAAAAAGGAAAGAAAGAAAUGAGGCCCAUUCUGAUGGCUCCCUAAGUCGACUGUGACACCUAGGGAAUGACCCUAACAGAGGUCAUCUGGCCUGCACGUCAUGGGCACUUGGCUAACCCUGGUCCACUAGAGGUCAAAGCCCAGGCCAGCAGGGCCACCCCCUCCACACCACCCCGGCAGGGCUGAGUCCUUGAGCCCUUUCCUAGAAGCACCAGCAGGGGAGAACUCGAAGCCAGACCUGGGGCUUCUGGUGGGGCAGGGUGACAGAGGAGGGAGGAGUGCACCCCAGGUCUUGGCCUGCUGGGUGCCGGGGUGCCCUCCUGAAGGGGUUUGAGGAGAGGGUGGGUGGCCAGUGCCAACCCUAAGCACGCGAGUGCCCGUGGCUGUGGAAACUGGCUGUGGUGGCUGGCGUCUGUCCCUGUCCCUCCUCAGUAGGAAGAAGGACUCAAACCCUAAAGUGGCACUGGCUUUCUCAAGUCCGCUUCCAGCGCCUGCUUCUUGCCACACAUACAGCGGUGGGAAUUGCCUGAGAACCAGGCGCCAGGCACAGGGACGAGUGGGAGGCCAAGGUGACAGCAAUGCGGGGCACAUCCCUGUCCAGGCUCAAGGCUGGUGGCUGGGCCUUCCCCACACCCGUCUCCAGCGCUGCCUGUCCCCUCCAUGCUCCGGCUGCCCUGGCUGUCUGGGACAGGGAGGAGGAGGGCAACAGCAAUACCAGGAAGGGGAGGAGGUGGAAAUGUUUUUCUUCUUCAACUAGAAAAAACAACAGUGGGCCGAGCUGGCUGGAGGAGGGAUCCUGCCUGCGCCCUGUCCCCAUCUGCCUUCCGCCCCAGCCCUGCCUGUUUCCCCACAGGAAGCUCCCGACGCGCAGUUCCUCCCUGCGCCUUGUGGCCAGGAAGCUGCUGGUGACAAGGCCAGGACACGACCACCGAGGCUCCCUGCAGACGGGGCUGCUGCCUAUGCCACCCGCUCGGCCAGCCCUGCCCCUCACCAUGGCACCGAGCCCAGGGUGACCGCGCUGGCGCCUCUCUGGAUUGAACUCCGGACCUUGUGCUUGAGAGGCAGGCGGCAGAACCACUGAGCUAAAUCCCCAGCCCUCCCGUCCACUUUCUGCAAGCUCAACCCUGAAGCCAACUUGGCUCCCGGGAUGACACUGGUGAAACCCAGCCCCCCAAGUCCCUCUGCUGUGGCCUGUGCCUCAGUUUCUCUGGGGGUUGGGAGGCAUUGCUGAGGACCAUCAACCCCUGCCUCAAAUUGCAAGCCUAGGGUGACAGAAGCCUCUGAAUUCUCCAUGGACGUCGAGAGCAGAGCCUGGCACAGCCCCACACAGGGCCAGGCCGGAGCGAGAACCCUGGCGGGCAGUCAGGAGGGGAGAACACAGAGCCCCUGCAUCCCCCACCCCUCUCCUCAUCCUCUGCAGGCCGGAAGGAAGCCCAGGCGGGAGUCUGGCCCUCAGCUCCCAGAUGAGGAGAACUCGCUCAGAAGGAAAAUAACAUCAGUGCCAUUGUCCCGGCUCCAAAUCCUGCCUGAAAAACAAAGCCAGCCCCACUGCAGCCGGGGAUUCCCUGGCAAAGCCUCAGCCCGGCAGCCUGGUCAGGGCGGCGCAGACCCGCAGGGAGGCAAAGGGGUCAGCACCUGCAGUGGAGACUCCCGUGUACCCCACAAGCCCGGCAGCUGCCGCCAAGGGCUGCAGAGGCGGCUGGGGAGGAGGACGGUAGGCGGCGCCCCCUGAACAUCUGGCGACUUCUGCCCACUCCUGGACAGCUGUGUGCGGCUCUCAAAUUUCAACCCACCUCUCUCCUCCCCCGCAGCUGGCUGUGUCCACUCCUGGAUCCACCCCAGGGCCCGGGCAAGGGGGACAGGAGGCACAGAGUGUGGGGGAUGGGGUGGGGGUGGCCCGUGGGCUGGGAGGAGGCCCUCGGGGGUUUCUGUCCUGCUCCAAUCCCUGGGGCACCUGGUGGCUGUGAACCUGACAUGGCAUCUGAGAUCCAUGUCUUGAGGGGCCUGCCAUGCUGCAUCCACCUUGGCCCCUGCACCGGGCCCCCUUUGGGGUCCAGAGCACCUUACUGCCUAAGCCCUGCCUGCUCCCAGGGUGCAGGGUGGAAUCGAUGGGGACCUGAGCUGAAGGUGCUGUGCUGGCAGCUUGAGGGGGGCAGGACCCCAGGACCCCAGGACCACCCUGCAGGAGGCAGGCAGCGCCUGUGGGCCACAUCGCACCUGCUGAACAACAGGACUGUGCUGUGUGGGGACCUGGCCUGCACAGAGGUGUGCAGACGUGGGAAGGCGGACGGACACCUGUGGGCACCUAGAGGGAGCAGCUCUGGAGCGGGGAGAAAAUAGUUCUCUGUUGCUAUGCCGCUAGCCAGUGGAAUUUGUCACGGCAGCCACCUGACCCCAGAACCUCUCUGCCUGCAGUGAGAGUGGCCGGCACCCGCCCCCAACAGAGCCCAUUUCUUCUCCUCAGGGAGCUGCCUCUCAGCACCCAGGUCUGGGCCUGGGGUGGUGGCACUAGCCUGCAGCUCCAGCCCUCUGGGAGGCUGAGGCAGGAGGAUUGGAAGUGCGAACCCAGCCUGGGCAACUUAGCAACUUGGCAAAACUUGUCUCAAAAUAAAAUA
ensembl:lncRNA